rnacentral:rRNA from 1 species
AUUGAACGCUGGCGGCAGGCUUAACACAUGCAAGUCGAGCGAGCGGCGGACGGGUGAGUAAGGUCUGGGAAACUGCCUGAUGGAGGGGGAUAAGUACUGGAAACGUUAGCUACUACCGCAUACCAUCAGAUGUGCCCUGAGGGGAUUAGCUAGUAGGUGGGGUAAUGGUUCACCUAGGCGACGAUCCCUAGCUGGUCUGAGAGGAUGACCGGCCACACUGGAACUGAGACACGGUCCAGACUCCUACGGGAGGCAGCAGUGGGGAAUAUUGCACAAUGGGCGCAAGCCGGAUCCAGCCAUGCCGCGUGUGUGAAGAAGGCCUUCGGGUUGUAAAGCACUUUCAGCGAGGAGGCGUUACUCGCAGAAGAAGCACCGGCUAACUCCGUGCCAGCAGCCGCGGUAAUAC